CAUGGCUCAGAACGAACGCUGGCGGCAGGCUUAACACAUGCAAGUCGAACGCCCCGCAAGGGGAGUGGCAGACGGGUGAGUAACGCGUGGGAACAUACCCUUUCCUGCGGAAUAGCUCCGGGAAACUGGAAUUAAUACCGCAUACGCCCUACGGGGGAAAGAUUUAUCGGGGAAGGAUUGGCCCGCGUUGGAUUAGCUAGUUGGUGGGGUAAAGGCCUACCAAGGCGACGAUCCAUAGCUGGUCUGAGAGGAUGAUCAGCCACAUUGGGACUGAGACACGGCCCAAACUCCUACGG
rnacentral:rRNA from 1 species